AUACAAGUCUAGUUUCUACAAGAGAAGUCUGGACAACGAUGUUUAUAUAUUUACAUCAGCACCAAAUGCAAACAAUGAAACUCAAGAUUCAGUUUUAGUGAGCAGAGCGAUGGACCUGCGAGUUGAUGAAUUCAUGCUGAAGCCAGCAGUGGUUGGAGUAAAACUGGAUGUACCGACUUGGAUGGAAAGCUUCAUCAAUGCUACGAUUACACCCAAUGUGAGUGCAAGGAAUUAGCUACUUGUAUUUA